GAGAGAGCGUGGAGAGAGUGUUAUCGAGGGGUCUGGUCCCCACAGAGAGCCUCGCAGAGUCUGUCAAGCCCUGAGGAUAAUCUAAGAUCAUUUCAUGGAUAGGAGCAGGUCAGACGUGCUCAGCAUCACAAAGCGGGAAGAGGCAGUCCUGGACCAGAACCCAGAACCCAGUGCUUUCUACUCCACAGGCCUACAUAUUCAGAGCCCUCGAGGUGCCUUAAAUGCCACACUGAAAUGACUUUUUGUUUGAAGCGAAGUUUUUUCCCCGAAAGUUUUGACUUUUCUUGGUGGGAGGCACUCCAAGCUUCUAAACAGGAUGAACCAUGGCAAGGCAAGCCUGGAUCAUCUGAACCAGGAAGAACUUAGAAGGUAAUUAUAGCUAGUUUCACCUUGAGCUCUUAGCCCUCAGGACUGUCCUUCCAUCUUAGGUUCCUUACCAUCUGUGCCAGUUUGAAUGUAUUGUGUCCCCCAAAUGCCAUUAUCUUUGUGGUCUUGUGUGGGGCAAACGUUUUUGGUGCUGGUUGGAUUUGCUUGGAGUGUGCCCCACCCAGCUGUC